GAGAGCGCUGCGGCGCCCCCUGCCGGCGGCACGAGGAUCCGGCGGUGCCGGCGCUGCUGUUGUCACAUGUCGGAAAGUCCCAAGCGCUGACGGUGGAAAUCCCCGCUGGGGUUUUUUUUGUUGUUGUCUUUUUUUUUUUUUUUUUUUUUUUUUUUCCUGUCCAGGCGCUGAAACAGAAAGGGGAAAGAAAACAAGAGGCUGAGCUCAGCCCUUCAUUCCGCGGCAGAGGUAGCGGCGGCAGCAGCUCCGCAUCGGAGAGGGGGGCGGCGGACGGGAACGCGGCCAGGUCAACCCGGGCCUGCUGCCGGCCGCUCGUUGAUGGCGACCGAGCCCGGCUGCGUGCCUUCGCCGCGGCCCGGCUGCUGAACAGCAUUCACCGGCGGAUCGAUCCCGUGCCCGGAGGAGCUCGCCGCUCGAGAGAUUUUGUCUAGGAACAUGGCUGGCCAACACAUCCUUCCUCAGGCUUUGUAUCAGAGCAACAUGCUGAAGGCUGUGAAGAUUAGAGAGAGGACACCUGAAGAUCUGGUCAGACCUCCCAGUGGAAUAAUUCACCACUUCAGGACUAUGCACAGAUACACUAUAGAAAUGUUCAGAAUGUGCCAGUUUUGCCCUCAAUUCCGGGAAAUGCUUCAGAAGGCCCUGACUGACCAAGCCACCCAGACUUCGCUGGAGCGCCAGAGGAAGCUGAACUGGUGCAUGGAAGUCAGGAGACUUGUGCCUUUGAAAACUAAUGGUGAUGGAAAUUGCCUCAUGCACGCUGCAUCACAGUACAUGUGGGGUAUUGAAGAUGUUGACCUCGUCUUAAGGAAAACGUUGUUUAGUGCACUCAGGGAGACUGACACACAGAACUUCAAGCUGCGCUGGCAGCGGGAGGCUAUUAAAUCCCAGGAGUUUGUGCAAACAGGACUCCACUUUGACACCCGGAACUGGGAGGAGGAGUGGGAGUACCUCAUUGAAAUGACCUCCCCGGAAACAUCUGGGGCUCGAAACAGACUUCCUUAUAAUGCACUGGAAGAAAUCCACAUCUUUGUUCUUGCUAAUAUCCUCAGAAGACCAAUCGUUGUCCUUGCAGAUAAAGUUGUGAGAAGUUUAGAAUCAGGCUCCAGUUUUGCUCCUCUGAACGUUGGUGGUGUUUACCUGCCACUCCUCUGGCCAGCUGAAGAAUGCUACAGAUAUCCAAUUGUGCUCGGCUAUGACAAUAUGCAUUUUACACCACUUGUGACCCUGAAGGACAGUGGGCCAGAAAUCCGGGCUGUCCCUCUGGUCACCAGCGAACGAGGCAGAUUCGAGGAUUUGAACGUGCACUUUCUGACAGAUGCAGAGGAGAGGGAGAAGGAGCAGCUGCUGAAAGACUACUUGAUAGUCAUAGAAAUUCCAGUGCAAGGCUGGGAUCAUGGCACAACUCAUUUAAUUAAUGCUGCAAAGUUGGAUGAAGGCAACCUGCCCAAAGAAAUAAAUCUUGUGGAAGAUUACUUUCAACUGGUGCAGCAUGAGUACAAGAAAUGGCAGGAGCAUGCUGAACCUGCCAGAAAAGAGGCCUGCUCCAGGAACAGACAGGAACUGUCUUUUUCCCAGCUCUCCCUCUUACAGGUGAAAUGUGAAACUCCAAACUGCCCUUUCUAUAUGUCUGUGAACACCCAGCCCUACUGCCACGAGUGCUAUGAGCGGAGGUCACAAGGAAGCAAAGGAAGAAAGCAGGUCACUGAAGCAGCACCUGAGAAACUGAAGGCAGCUGGGUUGGGCUGUGGUAAAGCUUGUGAACCUGGGGGGUGGAUGUCUGAGGAGGCUGUAACAGGGCCUCGCUCUGCACCCCCAACUGCUCCCAGCCUUUUCCUCUAUAGUGAAACCACUGCCAUGAAAUGCCGGACUCCAGACUGCCCCUUCACCUUAAACGUGCAACACAACGGACUUUGUGAACGCUGCUACAAUGCCAGACAGCUUGCUCCUUGUAAUAAUUUAGAUGACCAGAGAUGCUUGGACUAUGCCACGUGUAAAGUCUGCCUUCAGAAGGCCAAUAGGACAUUUAAUGGCAUAUGCAGCACUUGUUUCAAAAGGACUACAGAGCGCUCCUCGAAUGGCAGCCCUGGUUUUGUACCCACGUGCCAUCAGAGAUCUACAUCUGACCCAUCCCAGAUCCCACAGAGCCUCCUUCAGCAUUCCUGCCAGCAAGCUCCCAACAACAAUUGUGAUGAGCUGCCGUUGGCUGCACUGCCUCAUGCCCCACACACUUUGGAAGAGAAGAAGGGAAGUAAGCUCUGCAGGAAGCCUGGCUGCAAGUUUUUUGGAACAGCUCAGAAUGAGGGCUUUUGCACUCUGUGCUUCUUUGAAUACAGGGAAAACCAUGACAGUGCUUCACUACGCCAUCAGAGGAGAUCUCAGAGGAAUUCCUCAGCAGCUGGUCAACAGGGGAGCUCAGCUGCCGCUUUCCACAAUAUGUCUUGCCAGCAGCAGAACUGUGGAACCCUGGGUAGCACCAUGCUGGAGGGCUACUGCCAGAACUGUUUCAUUAAAGCCCAGAGCCAGCGAUUUCAGGAAGCCAGAAGGACAGAAGAGCAGCUAGUAAGACAGCCUGAAAGAACAGGACAGCGCAGAGAUCUACAGCGAGCAGCACUGACUAGCCAGAAGAGACAGUGUGCUGUGGCUUCGUGUCGAAACAACCUGGCCUGCAGAAGCAGUGAGCUGUGCCAGCAGUGCCAGCGCGUUGGCCAGCUUGUGCAGCUGGGGGGUCCCAGGGAGCCAGCCACAGAUGAGCCUCCGAAGCAACGCUGUCGAGCCCCUGCUUGCGACCACUAUGCUGAGUGAAGCAGAGACAAGUAGACACAAGAAAAAGUACAAACAAGUUCUUUAUUCUGCAACUCCGUUUGAGCACUCUAAAGAUAGCAUCAAGGACUGCAUGGAAAUCCCCUGGAUACACUUUGUAAUUUUUUCCGGUGAAUCUCGGGAUAGCAAAUAUGAAAGGCAAGGGUAUUCUUUGGACAUACAAGAACCAGGAUGAAACUUGCCCAGAUGGAGCAUGUGGAGCAAGAUACACAUCCCUGCACUAAACAGUUACCCUACCAUUUCCACAGUUUCUUUGAGUGUUGAAGAAAUGUAUUUGAAUUCCCAAAAAAUUCCCAGCUCAGGCCCUGUAUGUUUCCAGUGUAGGAAACCAGUGUAAGUGCAGUAAUAUGAAGGCAGGACUGUUUGGACGGAGUGUUAACUGCAAGACACUUGGUACUGUUACCAAGGACAAUGUCUGCUCCACUUGCAUUAAUAAUACAUUCAAAGAAACAGGCUUUUCCUUUGCUGUAGAUGGAAUUGCACCGUAGAACCACAUGUCUCUAUCAUCAGUUCUCCUCCUAACAGAGCAAAAUGGUGUCAAACUGCAAGCUGGAGCACUGGGCAUAGUUCUGCAAAUUACUUCUGGUUGGUUCAGCUUCUUUGAAUCAUAGAGAUGUAUGCAAGAGUUUGUAUCCAGCUCAUGCAAUGAUAAAGGUUAUGAAUAGGGGGAUAUAAUUGACCAUUUAUUUACUCUGAGGUUUUCAAAGUUAUCAAGGGAGAUGAAAAUAAACCACUGUGGAAGCAAAGUGAGAAGUUCAUCUCCUCUCUAGUUGGCUGUUAGCUAUUACUGUGGUGAUUUAUUGCCAUAAUCAAAGAAGAAACACCCUCCUUGCAGUGGAAAAAUGUUCCUAAUAAAGAUAAAAUUGUAAUCUCAGUGAGAAUUGGGAAGUACCAGUAAAAGCUUAGAAUUACUACCAUGGAAAAAAGAUCUCAGCAAUGAGAAAUACAGGGGAAAAACCACUUCUCCUAGCUUGUUUAUACAUCCACAAACUGCAUAAUUCUUUUUUACCUCUGCAACAAACAAACUCAUGCUAAGAUAUUUGCCCGUUGUGCCCUCCUACCCUCUUUGUUGUUUUCAGGUUAUAAUUCUCCUGUAUUAAAAUAUGUUUGUUCCAGCGGGUCUAGACUGCUAAUCCAUCUACUUUAUACUGUUUUACAGACUCUUCUGUCUCCUUAAUUUUUACCAUUCUGUUAGUCUUUCCCACAGAAGAAAAAGUUGAAUUAGGUCAAAUCUGGCAAGGAUCUCUGUAGAAAAUAAGUAGAGAAGCCAUGUGCUGAAGAUUACUUACUGCCACCCUACUUAUAAGUUUUCCAUUUCAAAGUGCACGCUGUUUUUUGCAGCGAGAGUUUCUGUAUUUUUCUGACACAACAUUGUAUAUUAUUGAAGCAAGUACCUCACAGAAGUCUACAUUAUUCCUUUUACAAAUCAUACUAGAAACUGAUGUCAGAAAAGCAUGGUUUUUAUUAAUUAACGUGGAAUCACAGGAGCAAUUGUGCUUUAAGUAACUUUUGCAAGAUUUGCGGCUGUAAGUUGGAUUCAGGAAAAGUGAUGUUAUUUACUUAUAUCACAUAAGAACAGCACUUCCCAUUACACUUACAGGUAAGACAAACUGAAAAAAAUAAAAAGAAAAAAAAAACCAGGAAGUUUACAGAACACUUUUCACCUUUGCAUUAUUUAGAAGUGUUUACCUCCAGAGGAGAUGCUUACUACUUCUGAGUUGAAUUUGAUGAUAAAAAUUCUUUAUUGCCUUUAGUUUUGCUAACCUUUGAUUUUCCUUCAACGUGAUUGCAGGUUGGACAAGCGAAGAAGUCCAAAAUAUUGCUAAGUUCCUCCUAUAAAUGUCCACGUGCUGUUUUUGUACAAUGAAAUUAUAUUUAAAAGAUCUAAUCAUUUUACAUAGGUCAAAAUUGACCUACAGUGGUAUAACGCAGCGGAAAAGUUCACCAAUAACAUUAACUUUUAUUAGUCCCUGUAUACCCAGCUAAACCCCACGAAACAUAAACAAAGUGAAGCCCUCAGAAAAGUUUCAUACCAGGCAAAUUUUUUACCUAUCCUCUGUCCCAAACGUGCAAACUACCACAUCUGCCAUCCUGCACUAGACUUCGGGGAGUUUCAAUCCCUGUAUGUGGGUGAGAAGUGGUCACACUAUAAGAAACAACUCAGAUGUCAAAUGAACUAAUGGAUGACACAUCGUGUGUACUAGCUUACAGUUCAACCUUCAGGUUUUGGCAAUAUGUGGUAAUGCAGAAAGUUCUCUCCUCCUACAUGUCUGCACAAUUCAUCCAGCUCCACUGCCAUAUUCCUGCUGCUGAGUUGUUCCCACACAGCAGAGAAAAGGUUCCUUUUCUUUCAGCCUGGAAAAUGUGAUGGCUUUUAUUUGUAGUUCCACUCAAUUGUUGUGUUGUACCAAGGCUAAACAAACUACAAACAUGAUUAAAAGCAAUUUAUAUAUUAUUCUUUUCCUGUGUUAAAUAGGAGAAAAUGAUGUGUUAUGGAUUUCCUCCACCAGGACACUGAAAACUUUCAGCAGGAAAGCAUUAAUUUAAGAAAUAGUAAUUCAUGUAUUUGCACUGAGGUUUACCUAGGAGCAUAAGCAAAACAGCGAGGGCUUUCUGCCUCCACUCCCAUGUGGAUAAAGCAGAGGAUAGUGCAUCCCUGAAGUAGAAACAAAAACUCCUAUUCUUACACACAUUCUCUCUAUUAACUUUUUGUGUAGUGGAUAUUUCUUUGGUCCUGCUCAGUGGUGGGGUUGCGUCAGAUCUGUGGUUGGAAACAACCCAAGGGAAGCCUUUUUCAAGAGCAAUGUCCAUUUAUCUGAUUUCCACGUCCCUCUCAUCUCCAAUGACUCUGUGUUGGGGCUCUCAGGACUGAGGACACCUCAGGGCCAUUUGUCACCAGAAUAUUUUUAUCUAGUAGGUCUGAACAGUAAUUUUUGUCUCUUCAUUCUUCUAUUGGUCUCACAUGGCAAGGUUUUGUUAGCAUGGGGGCUGCAGGGGGGUGGUCUCUGUGAAGAGAGCUCAGCAGAUGCCCAUAGCAGACAAGAGCCUGUUCAAGCUGGCUCCAAAGAGGCCCACUGCUGGUUUGGGCAUUUGCAAAAAAAGAGGUUUGUAUUUGUGACUACAUGAGAUUAACGUGUUGUCUCUUUAAACAAAAUUAAUUGCCAAGAAGAACCACACAAGCUGACAAAAACAAUGAUCAAAAUGAAGAGAGAAAGCAGAGGGGUUUUGCUGACUCUUUAUUAAAGGGAUGCAGCUUCUGCCCAUUUGUAAAGCUACCAAAACAACGUAUGAUUUUUUCAAUAUCAUUGUAUGUUAUGUCAAAAUCUUAACAUAGAAUUGUUGCCUGGCACAAUAUUACUGAAAUGUUACUGAAAGCAUAGGUAAAAGCAAGGGACAGCAUAUACUUACAUUCUACCUUGCUUUCCUCUACAAAUAACAGGUUGCUUAAACAAAGCAAGUAGUGAGAGGAAAAUGAGAUCUUGCUUGCAGCUAUGUUUAUUUUGUCACCAGAAUUAAGUUUAUCAGGUUAAGUUAAUCACUGAAACUAAAAGGCAUCAUCUCAUUGAAAAUGGUGAGAAACAGGAAAAGUCAUACCACACCCAGAAACCAUGCUGGCAUUGUCACAGAAUAACCUGACUUUCCUCAACAAGUGACAAGUGAUUUUUCCCAACCUACAGAUGGUUAUUUUUGUCCUCCCACUUCUGGCUUGAUCAAAACCCACACAUCUAAAUAAAAGAUCUUAAUAAUAAAUCCACAUUUAAAUACUUACCCAGGCUGAAUGAGUCUGGUUGCUGUGCCAACAGGCAGUACAGGGGCUCUUUCUCUGUUUGUCUUCCUUCACUCUCCAAGGGAUGCUGUGGUGUACCACUGAGCCACCUAGCAGCACCUCCACUUCUUCUUCUUGGACCAUGCCCAUACUCUGCUAUCCGGGGGAAUGUGACCACAAAAACAGAUUUGAUGUCAUUUGUUCAAUACCUGUGUGAAAGAAAUCAAGGAUGAUUUUGACAAAUGUCUCCUAGUUGUCCUUGGCCUCGUAAUUAUACAGACUCCUCCUCCUCAGUGACAUGAGGGAAACAAACCAUUUGUGCUGACUUAUCUGCACAGAUUUAAUGUGGCUUAUCAUUACAAUACUGACUUAAACAGAUCAUACAGAUGUUUUGCUAAACAAAGUGGUUUAUUCAGACUUAGAUAACUUUUUUUUUAUACUUCUUUUCUUUCGUUUGUCCUAGGUACAGCAUUUCCACAGACAUGUUUCAAGAAUAAAUUCUACCAACUUGUAGAUUGUAUCUCUCCUCUCUAAACUAUCACUACUGUAAAAUCUAAGUUGGAAGCAUGGUGUGAUUCAUGCAACCUCUUCCUUUCCCACGUGAAAAUAUUUCUUGCUCCUCAGACACUUAAGGAGUCUUUCACAAGUUCAUAUACGCGAGGAUCAAACGUUUAUACAUAAAUCUCAAUUGUUCUUUAUUUCAGUUCAGCUUGAGUUGACUCAGAUGUAGCUUACAUUUCCAACCACAUCUCUCCAAGCGAUGUGAAAAUAUUCUCAUAUUUCUCCAAAGUGUCACAGGGUACUUCCAUCCAUUUCUUAAGCAAAAACAUCAGACGGGAAGUAAGCCUGUGGCUGGAGUCAGCAUACCAUGCACAUCCGUCUGAUAUCCCCAAAAGGUACCUUCUGUUCCCACCACUCCACCAUCUUCCACGGGGUGACAGAUCUCCACAGUUUCCCUGUAUGCAUGGUCUCCCAUCUGUUUUGGAGUCCUGAUAUCUUCAUCUCUGUGCUUUCCAGUGUCAGAGGCUCAUUGCUGCCUGUCCAUGCCGGGAAGGUGUUGUGAGUACUGUGGACCUCAGUCAUUAGUUUGUGGUUGCACAGCCGCCGUCUCACAGUGAGAGUGCUGUGACACUGCCAGCUGUGAAAAGUUUCCCUGUGGGCAGAUUCCCCUUCCCAGUUCCUCUUUUAGCAACUUUUUGCCUCCUCCUCUCUCACCGCAGCCUCCUGGCUGCUUGGCCAGCAGCCUGCAGCCUGCUGUCAUUUCUGGUGCAAACAAGCACCACAAUUGAUUUGAGAAAUUUGCAGGACUUCACAGCUCCCAAGGAAUGAGCCUAAAUGUUCAAAAUAUCUAACAGGGACAGACUUUUUUUGUGCCAUGUCUUUGUUAUUUUUUUUUUUUUUUAAUUUUUAAUUUUAGUAAUUUGCUAAGGUGCUCAGUGUAAGUAUAUUUAAACACAGUUUACAGCAACAGCAGCAUUUUGUCUUCAACUGACCACCAUUCUGUAGUCAAAGACCAGGUGAAAGACCAAGGAUGAAAUGUUGCAGAUGCCCAUGUUUCUGUUUAUGUGCUGAUGGGGACAAGUCACUGUUAGUUGGAAAAGAGGUGACACGGUUGUGGCUGCUCGCCUGUGUUCUCUUGUAUUGCUUCUCUGCCUCCAAGUAAGAGUGACACCAAGAGGGAAGAAGUUCUUGAUUUUUUCUAGGUUAUUCAGGGCCACCUGUUGCAGAAUUAAGAAAUGUUUCCACCAAGAGAUUAGCAGCCUACACAGCUGCAAGUAGCUUUAAUCCACUUUGUGCUCGGGAGCACACACAGGCACUGGGCUUUGUGCUGAGCUAUUUUCACUUAUUGCUGCAUCUGUUUUCAGUGGAAAGUGCUGAAGACC